AGUAAUAAAGCUCCCUGCCUCGCCCUCUCUCACAGCACUGAACUGCUUUUCCUGAAUUUUCCCACACUGCUGAUCAUUCACUUGCUAAUUUCGAUGCAUACAUUCUUUUUGAGAAAGUCAGUUUGCCAACUCCUCCCACUGGUUUGUCAGAAAAUGAGCUUACACUGCGCUGAUCUCACUCCUGCUGCCAAACCUCCUUCUAGGGGUCUCUCCUUUGAUAAUGCAGGGAUUAUGUAGGCAUGGGGAGGUGGGAUACCAAGGGGGGAUUCUGUCGACGGUGCUGUUCCCCCCUCCCCAGCCCCGCCGGUUCAAAGUCAUCGAGCCGGGGGGCCUCUCUGACUAUCUGGACUGUGCAGACCACCGCGUCUUCCGGUAGGGUCAGGGGAGGGCUUGAGAUAAAUCUGUAGGGCUCAACCACCAGCCACUGUCCACCUCAGGUGCCCCAAGCGCCAUCUCUGCCGGGAGCUAUGUGGAUGCAUCGGUGACAAAAUGGAAAGCCUCUGGUCCUGGCGGAGCUUGUUCCAAUCAGGAGAGACCCGAAAGCAAGAAACACAGUGAACAAAUGCAUGAUGCCCAGGGGUGGAUGGCCGCAGCACACGCCACCCAUCGCCGUGACCACACUGUCCCUCAGAGGAGCCGCUGGCCACGUGUGUCCCGUCCACAUGGAGAUGUACUUGAAGAUUCUUUACACACUGGGUUUCAAAGACUUAAGUAUGGAAAACAGUGUAAAAUAUUAAUAACACAAUAACUGAUUGUUAUCAAAAUAGUGGGCUGAAUAGAAAAUAUAGUUUGUUUAUUUAUAGAUA